GAGUUCAUAAAUCAUAACAGUAGCUGUUUCCCUUUUGAUUGGGCGCCGCUAGCGCUGUCUUUUACUCGGCUACAUUUGGAUUCCCCUUAUAUUAAUUAGUCCUUCCCUUUAUAUGUGUCGACUUAAAAGAUAUCGCUUUUGCAUGUGACUUGCCCACGACCACCCAUUACUCUCCUUUAUUAUUAAGAACCUUCUUCUCCUCCUCCUUAUUUUGCCCUCAGUUGCCGCCUCCUAC
rnacentral:lncRNA from 1 species